UGGAGUACAAAAUGGGACUCGUCCUUUUCCAGUGAUGCAACACAAUUACACCGCAUCGCACCAGAGGCCAAAAUGACAAUUGUCCUCUUUCUAGCAAGCCACCGUGAUUGUGGCGGGUCGCGCUGAGGCAUAAAAUCAGGAUUUUCAGUUUCAAACUAAUUUUUACAAAGGGCAACCUAGUCAUUUCCCAAGGCCCCAAUCAUGUAAAACACAAGAUUUAACCUAUUCUAAGUAUUAUAUGCUCAC
rnacentral:lncRNA from 1 species